GGGGGAAAAUUAAUAAAAUAUAAAUAAUAAAAAAAUUUUUAAUAUUGGGGGAUGUUAAAGUAUUUUUUUAAAAAAAAAUAAAUUAUUUUAUAGUUAAUUAGUAUUGAAAAAGAAAUUUGAAAUAAUUGAAAAUAAAUUAAUAAAAAAGUAAUUUUAAUUUAGUGUAUCUUGUGUAUCAGAGUUUAUAAAAAAAUAUUUUUUAUAAAAAAAAAUCUCGAAUUUAAAAGAGUUAAUUAAUUAUAAAAGUUAAUGUAGAAAAAUUAUUUUAAAUAAUUAAUUUGAAAUGAAAUGUUAAUCGUUUUUAAAUAUAUCUAGUUAUUUUAGAAAAAAAUUUAAUUUAAAAUUUAAAAAAUUUUAUUAUUAAUUAUAAUUAAUAAUAAAAAAUUUAAAAUUAAAUAUAUUAAGGGAUAAGCUUUAGUAUAAAAAUUUAUAAUAAUAAGUUAAAAUAUAUGAAAAUUUUAAAAUUUAUAUUGUUUAUAAAUUAUAAUUUAUUAUAAAAAAUUUCAUAAUUAAUAAAAUUUAAUUUUAAAUUUAAUUUUAUAUAAAAUAAUAAUUUAAAAUAAAAUAAAAUUAAAAAUAAUGAUAAAAUUAGUAUAUUAAAAUAAAAUAAAAUUUAAUUAAUAAAAAUUAAAUUAAAGGAAUUCGGCAAAUAUUUAUAUUCACUUGUUUAUCAAAAACAUGUCUUUUAGUAAAUAAUUUAAAGUCUAAUCUGCCCACUGAUAAUAUAUUAAAGGGCUGCAGUAUAUUGACUGUACAAAGGUAGCAUAAUCAAUAGUCUUUUAAUUGAAGACUUGUAUGAAAGAUUUGAUGAAAUAUAAACUGUCUCUAAUUUAUAAAUAAAAUUUAAUUUUUUAGUUAAAAAGCUAAAAUGAUUUUAAAAGACGAGAAGACCCUAUAGAGUUUUAUAUUAAUUUUUAUUUAAGAUUAAAUAUAUAAAUAAAAAUUAAAAAUAAAAAUAAUAUUUUGUUGGGGUGAUAGAAAAAUUUAUUUAACUUUUUUUAAAGAAAUUUACAUAAAUAAAUGAGUAAUUGAUCCAUUAAUAAUGAUUAAAAGAAAAAAUUACCUUAGGGAUAACAGCGUAAUAUUUUUUUCUAGUACAAAUAGAAAAAAAAGUUUGCGACCUCGAUGUUGGAUUAAGAUAAAAUUUAAAUGCAAAAGUUUAAAAUUUUGAUCUGUUCGAUCAUUAAAAUCUUACAUGAUCUGAGUUCAAACCGGUGUAAGCCAGGUUGGUUUCUAUCUUUAAAAUAAUAAAAUAUUUUAGUACGAAAGGAUCAAAUAUUUUUAAUAAUUAAAUUUAAUGAAUAUUAAUAAUAUAAUUAUA
rnacentral:rRNA from 1 species